AACAAGUAAAAGAACCAAAGUAAUUCUUCAGUCUAUGAACUCAACUAUACUAAUCACUCGAAUCUAGAGCCAUAUAUAUUAAUUUCCUUAAGAUAACUUAUAACCAAGAACCAAAUUUGUAAUGAACCAAAUUUGUAAUGAACCAAAUCUAUAGUCACGGGAUUCAACUCCUAAAGGAAAAAGUACUCCCUAUAAAUGAGUAUACUUUCAUGGUGCAAAACCUAUUGGCUCUUCUUCUUGUUUCAUACUCGAAUAAUUUGUAAUCCCUCAAUUUGACCAUAUAAUCUGAACCCCAAUAUAGUCUUUGAUCAAUUACACAUAAGGCA
rnacentral:lncRNA from 1 species